rnacentral:misc_RNA from 1 species
GAUGAAGAACGUAGCGAAAUGCGAUAAGUAAUGUGAAUUGCAGAAUUCAGUGAAUCAUCGAAUCUUUGAACGCACCUUGCGCCCUUUGGCCAUUCCGAAGGGCAUGCCUGUUUGAGUAUCAUGAACACCUCAACUCUUUAUGGUUUUCCAUGAUGAGCUUGGACUCUGGGGGUUUUGCUGGCUCACAGUCGGCUCCUCUAAAAUGAAUCAGCUUACCAGUGUUUGGUGGGUAUCAUGGGUGUGAUAACUAUCUACGCUUGUGGUUUUUCCACCAGGUAACCUUCAGCAGUGGAGGUUCGCUGGAGCUCAUAGAUGUCUCUCCUCAGUGAGGACAGCCCUUUGAAUGUUUGAUCUCAAAUCAGGUAGGACUACCCGCUGAACUUAAGCAUAUCAAUAAGCCGGAGGA